rnacentral:lncRNA from 1 species
UGAAAUUGCAAAGACUAAUAGGCCUGUAUUGGGUUAUACUUUCAGGUUGUGCUACUUUGGGGAUUAUAGUGAUAUGGGUCCUAUUCAAGUCAGGAUCGAGAGUACCUUGGCUGAAGAAGGAGUCUACCAAUCUAAGAAUAUCAUGUCGGACCACCUGCCACUGGCUUUGGUAAAAUAAUCCAUUAAGUCCGUCCGACCCUGGUGCUUUGGUAGCUCCCAAUUGAAAGACUGCAUUUCUUACUUCUUCCUCUGAGAUUGGCUUGAUUAAAUCUGCAUUCAUCUCAUCAUUUACCAGCUGUAUGCACUGGUCGAGGAUAGGUUGAUAAUUUCUCUCUCCCACCGUGGUGUAUAGCCUUUGAUAGAAAGCCCUGAUAUGCUGUUUUAUGAUUGAAGGCUCUCGGCUCCAUUUAUCUUCGUCAAUCCGUAACAUAGAGAUUCUGUUUCUACUUCUCCUUUGUACAGUCGUGGCAUGAAAAAAUUUUGUGUUUUGGUCGCCCCAUGUGAGCCACUUAAUUCUUGAACGCAUGCUCCAAUACAUUUCCUCUUGUCGCCAAAAGCCUUCUAUUUUUCCAGCUACUUUUCUGUACUCCUCUCUGUCGUGAGGCUCAUCUUCCUUGUUUGUCAAAUCCGUUAGUCUUUGCUUGAGUAGAUCUAUUUGACGGUGCGCAUUGUGAAAUUUUCUCCAGCUCCAUAUGGUUAGGUCGGCUACAACUUUCUGUAUUUUGCUUACAAAGUUUUUGUGGUGAAUGCUGUUUUUUCCCCAAGCCUCUUGGAUAACUUAUAUACAUUCCUUUUCUUCAAGCCAAUAUGCCUCAAAUCUGAACUCCUUCUUUCUUCUUGCAGGUUUUGGCUCCAAUGUAAGUAGCAAGGGGCUGUGAUCCGAACCAAUCGCCGGUAGAGCGAGAACCUCUGCGUUUGGAAAUUGUACUCUCCAUGCCCAAUCACAUAAAGCUCUGUCAAGCCUUUUCUUCACUAAGUCAUUUCCUGCUCUAUUGUUGGUCCAGGUAAAUUUACAGCAUUUGCUUUCUAUAUCCAUUAAGGAGCAUGAGUCCAUGAAAGCACGAAAGGCCACCAUUCUGUGUCUAUCUACUUCCCUUCUUCCAGCUUUCUCCCAAUAAUAAAGAACCUCGUUGAAAUCUCCCAUGCAAAGCCAGGGUAGGUUAUUGGAUAAGUGAGUUGAGGAUAGCAGUUGCCAAAGGUUUAAUCUCUCUUGGAAAGAGGUGGAUGCGUGAAGAAAUGAUAUUCUCAUCUGAGCACCGCUGCUGAUAACUGUAUAGUUUAUAUCAAUAAUCUCCCCAAAACAUGCUAGAACUUCCACUUGCACUUGAUCAUCCCACAUUAGAAUUAGCCCCCCUGCUGUUCCAUUUGGAUUGAUUAUAGUAGAGUUGCCAAACUUCAGGCUUUUCCAUAUUCUAUCGACCUUGCUUUCUUUAUUCUUGAUUUCCAUAAGGAACACCAAGUCGGGCCUCUCUUAAGCCACUAAGGCUCUAAGAUGCUGAACUGUCAAGGGCGUGCCCAGGCCCUGACAGUUCCAGCAAAGGAUCCUCAUGUAUGACCUGGUGGCUUAUUAGGGCUAGCCACCAAAGCCCGUUCCAGGACGCCUUCCAUCGAUUGGAUUGGAGUAUCCAAUAAGUUCUCCUCAUCUAGAAGAUGAAUUGUAGAGGAUCUUUUCUUAUAAGGAUUAACCCUUUUCUGCUUCUUUGUCACAGGGGUUUUGAGCUUGUUUUUAUUUUUCCUCAGGUAAUCGGCACCUUUGUCUUCCUCCACCGAAGGGAGAAGCAAUAGCUGGGUUUGUUGAGGCCUCUUCCCCUUAUUUGGGAAGCUAUGAUCAUCCAUCCAUGUAUCAUCUCUUGGUGCGUUUGCUGGGGGCGUGGGUAGAAUUAUGGCUAAGGCCUCUGGUUCAACGGCAAAUGGUUCUGGUCUAGCUGCAUUUACAGUGGAUGUCAUGGGAGUUUCGGGCACCAUUUCUUCCUCUUCAUUGUGAUGGUCAAUUUGCCCGUAGAAGGUCUUCCAACAAGGAUUGUGUUCGCUAACUUCUGCUUUCAGCCAAGAGCCAUACUUCCCUGGUUUGUCUUGAGCCAAUCCCGUCUCUUCAUAAGGUAUUUCAGGGCAAUAAUUGGCAUAAUGCCCAAUUCGACCACAUGAGAAGCAUAAAUGAGGUAGCCUUUCAUAUUUAAAGUCUAGCCACCAUUUGUUUCCUCCGAAAGUAACCACUGUUCCUGUUUUUAGAGGAAUGGACAGAUUUAGACUGACUUUUGCUUUGCCUAACUUACGCCAG